rnacentral:rRNA from 1 species
ACGUAGGGACCAAGCGUUGUUCGGAUUUACUGGGCGUAAAGGGCGCGUAGGCGGCAUGACAAGUCACUUGUGAAAUCUCCGGGCUUAACUCGGAACGGCCAAGUGAUACUGUCGCGCUAGAGUGCAGAAGGGGCAAUCGGAAUUCUUGGUGUAGCGGUGAAAUGCGUAGAUAUCAAGAGGAACACCUGAGGUGAAGACGGGUUGCUGGGCUGACACUGACGCUGAGGCGCGAAAGCCAGGGGAGCAAACGGGAUUAGAUACCCCGGUAGUCCUGGCCCUAAACGAUGAAUACUUGGUGUCUGGAGUUUAUAUCCUCCGGGUGCCGUCGCUAACGUUUUAAGUAUUCCGCCUGGGGAGUACGCUCGCAAGAGUG